AUGAUGGUGAUGUGGCGCAGGUGGGCCUCAUGGAGUUUGGCUGGGAUGGUGGCGGUCGGCGGUGGACGCGGGUGCAUGAGUUGUGGGGCUCCAUCUGCCGCUCAACCACCGCUUACUCCCACUCUGUUCACUAGUUUUGUUUUCAUUGUCAUGCCUAUUCCUCGUCGACCUGCAGCAGCAGGAGACACGAGAUCACCUCCGGCACCGCUGGUCACAUGA
rnacentral:rRNA from 1 species